rnacentral:lncRNA from 1 species
GAAAACAAGUGGUAAGGUAGCUGAAAGAAGGAAUUCAUUUCUGCACUGUUAAGUUCUCACAGGCAAACUGUUCAGUCUGUCCCAGCUCCUGGACUGCACAGGCCCAGACAGAAUCAUGAGCUGAUGCAGAGAAGAUUUCAGCAUUCGGGAAUAUCUGAAGAGUCAGGCUUUGCAGUGCUUCCACUGAUCAGCAUCUGAGGAAAGCUCUGGAAUACUCCAUGCCUUGAAUGCAUAUAGAACACAGUCUCAGAUAUUAGAAACAAUUCAACUAUCAUGUUCAACUGCUACAAGGAUCCACGAUUCCAAGAGUCAGUGAGUUGCUCUCUCUCCCUUUAACACAGCUGUGAAGUCCACUGAAUAUCCAGCCAAGUGUACUUGUGAAUUUCUUCCCCUCUCAUGCCAGUGAGAGGACCUGGUUUCAGCCUAGUGGUAUGAUGUACUUGCUCAUCAGCUUUCAGGUUUAACAAGGGAAAACAAUCUACCCCUCAAAUUGUAGAAGCUUUCUUUCCAGGGGAACUAGACAAUCCUGAUGGCUCUCUCCAGUUACAUAGCAAUUAUAUAAUUGCUAAGCUUCUGCAGAAUCACUGGAACCAUUCUGCAGGCUUCUACCAACUACAGCUGCAGCACAAUGUUCCGAGAUGAUUGCAGGCUUUGAAUGGAUGGCCGGUCUCAAAUCUGAGCACAAAGGGACAUACAAUGGGAUUCCAUCUCAAGCACAAAGAUGCUCCUGCCUAAUGAAGCCCUUUCUCCUCCUCCCAGUCUGUGCAGUAAACUCUUUCCUUUGCCCGCCCUACAUGUGUGUGGAAUGUGGUUUACUCUGUUUAUGCUGACAGGUUCCAAAAGAGGCAGAAAAAUCAGCUGAAGUUUUGCCAUGGACCAUGCACAAGCUCCAAUCCUUCAUGUUGACAUUACACAUCCUGUACUGUAGAUCCACCCCCAUGCUGCUGCUUGCCCAGCUGAAUUAUCUCCUGCGUCACAGCGGUGGUAACAGAACUGCUGGCUCGGCAGACCUGAAAGCACCAUUUCAAUGCUUAAUGCAUUCAGCAACUGGACACAUUACCAGUGCGUCAGGGCUGGUUUGUGGCCCUCUCAGCAGCCAUGCAAUACUUGACCUAACCUUCUGCUAACCAGAUGGUCUGUUUGCCUCUUGGGACCAAACCAUUAAACUUUACUUUAUUAAAUUCUAUCCAAAUGUGGGGACAGUUUACAGCAGCAUGUCUGGUUCAUCUCCAACAGGGUUGCUAAGAUGAAAAUGACCUAAAAAUAACUGGAAACUCUACUUCACACCAACAG